rnacentral:miRNA from 1 species
AUGAAAUGGACGAUUGGCUGUG